rnacentral:rRNA from 1 species
GGAGUCUGGGCCGUGUCUCAGUCCCAAUGUGGCCGAUCACCCUCUCAGGUCGGCUACUGAUCGUUGACUUGGUGAGCCGUUACCUCACCAACUAUCUAAUCAGACGCGAACUCACCUCAUACCGGAUCGCUCCUUUCACCUCUCCGGGAUGCCCCGGCGUGGUCAUAUGCGGUAUUAGCACAUCUUUCGAUGCGUUAUCCCCCUGUAUGAGACAGAUUGUUCACGCGUUACUCACCCGUCCGCCACUCGGAUUACCCGGAAGCAAGCUUCCAAAUAACCCUCGUUCGACUUGCAUGUGUUAAGCACGCCGCCAGCGUUCGUCCUGAGCCACUGAUCAACUCU